CAGCCGCCGCGUAAUACAGAGGGUGCGAGCGUUAAUCGGAUUUACUGGGCGUAAAGCGUGCGUAGGCGGCUUUUUAAGUCGGAUGCGAAAUCCCUGAGCUUAACUUAGGAAUUGCAUUCGAUACUGGGAAGCUAGAGUAUGGGAGAGGAUGGUAGAAUUCCAGGUGUAGCGGUGAAAUGCGUAGAGAUCUGGAGGAAUACCGAUGGCGAAGGCAGCCAUCUGGACUAAUACUGACGCUGAGGUACGAAAGCAUGGGGAGCAAACAGGAUUAGAUACCCGCGUAGUCCCUGUCUCUUAUACA
rnacentral:rRNA from 1 species